rnacentral:lncRNA from 1 species
CCUGGUGUGCCUAGGGUGUGGGGCCUGGCACCCAGUCCUGCCUGGCAGAGCCUGGAGAGAAGUGAGCCGCGGUUGGUGGAGUAGUCGCAGCGGCCCGGCGCGUUCUCAGCCCGGCUCUUUGUCUGCUGCUUUGUGAUGGUUCUGGCCUCGAGAGAGAAGGCCCUAGGGGUACAGGAGUCAGAGCAGGGGACCUUGGCAGACUCACGGACGGGGCUGAAUCCAGCUCCACCCGGUAACUGUGUGAUCUUGGACAGGUGUGGCCCUCUCCCAGCCUGCUUUCCCCAUGUGGGGACCACGGACCAGGUUCAUUCA